AGUGAACGCUGGCGGUAGGCCUAACACAUGCAAGUCGAACGGCAGCACAGUAAGAGCUUGCUCUUACGGGUGGCGAGUGGCGGACGGGUGAGGAAUACAUCGGAAUCUACUUUUUCGUGGGGGAUAACGUAGGGAAACUUACGCUAAUACCGCAUACGACCUACGGGUGAAAGCAGGGGAUCUUCGGACCUUGCGCGAUUGAAUGAGCCGAUGUCGGAUUAGCUAGUUGGCGGGGUAAAGGCCCACCAAGGCGGGGAUCCGUAGCUGGUGGGAGGGGAUGGUCGGCGACCUUGGAACUGAGACAGGGUCAAGACGCCUACGGGAGGCAGCAGUGGGGAAUAGUGGGCAAUGGGCGCAAGCAUGAUCCAGCCAGACCGAGUGUGUGAAGAAGGCCUUCGGGUUGUAAAGCCCUUUUGUUGGGAAAGAAAAGCAGCAGGUUAAUACCCCGCGGUUCUGACGGUACCGAAAGAAUAAGCACCGGCUAACUUCGUG
rnacentral:rRNA from 1 species